rnacentral:rRNA from 1 species
UGAGGAAUAUUGGUCAAUGGACGAGAGUCUGAACCAGCCAAGUAGCGUGCAGGAUGACGGCCCUAUGGGUUGUAAACUGCUUUUAUAAGGGAAUAAAGUGAGCUACGUGUAGCUUUUUGCAUGUACCUUAUGAAUAAGGACCGGCUAAUUCCGUGCCAGCAGCCGCGGUAAUACGGAAGGUCCGGGCGUUAUCCGGAUUUAUUGGGUUUAAAGGGAGCGUAGGCUGGAGAUUAAGCGUGUUGUGAAAUGUAGAUGCUCAACAUCUGCACUGCAGCGCGAACUGGUUUCCUUGAGUACGCACAAAGUGGGCGGAAUUCGUGGUGUAGCGGUGAAAUGCUUAGAUAUCACGAAGAACUCCGAUUGCGAAGGCAGCUCACUGGAGCGCAACUGACGCUGAAGCUCGAAAGUGCGGGUAUCGAACAGG